rnacentral:lncRNA from 1 species
GCUGUACAAAAUAAAUGCCUCUGCUUGUGAUUAGAGUUUAGUUUAGUUUUACUUGAAGGAAACUUUACAGCAACUGCACUCACCACCCUCUGCUACAGAGGCCGCACGCCAGGCCCAUCCUCACUCUCGAUUUGCCUUGCCUUUUCUGCUGGGAAGGCACUGCACCAGUCCCAUUCAUUCUUCAGUGCCAUUCAGUGCAAAGAAUCGCCUCAAUGCUAGUUUAAGACUACAGCUCAAACAGCUGCCUUUUAGCAUUUUU